CCCUGCCAUUUGUACACACCGCCCGUCGCACCUACCGAUUGAAUGGUCCGGUGAAAUCUUCGGAUUUUUAUAAUUUUGAUUUAUUUUGAGAUUAUAGAAAAAAGUUGAGUAAACCUUACCAUUUAGAGGAAGGUGAAGUCGUAACAAGGUUUC
rnacentral:rRNA from 1 species